GAACUACUCCGAUCCAACCACAGCAUACACCCAUCAAAUCCAUGAGAAUAACCUACCACAUUGCAUCCCCCGGCCGUCCGCCGCCACGUCCACACCUCGCCGUCCGCCGCCCCCUCCGGCCUCCCCGGGUCUUCUCCAGCAUCCCCUCCACGCCCUCCUCCUUUGGCCUCGCCGAAGCCUCGCGCAUAUCCGGUCUCCCCUCCGUGGUGCCCUGCUCCGGCCUCGCCAACGCAUCGCGUAUCUCCGGCCUUCCCUCUGCAGCAUCCUUCUCCGGCCUCACUCCUCGACGCGUUCCACACCAGCGACUGCCCUCCCUCCGCCUUUAGCAGAUCCCAUGAAGUGAAUCAAGCACACGGGAUGGAGGGAGCCGUGCCGUCGACCAUGGCGGCAGGGGCGGCCUAGAAGACCUCAAAUCUGAUGGUUCCUCUCCCUGAUGGCAAGUUCUCAAAUCAUACAUUUCCUUAUCUUAUAGAUUCGUUAUGUGUACAUCCAUAUUAGUGUCCUGCUUGGCAUCUUUUUUGUUAUAAAGGGAACAUGUUGUUGAUGUAAAUUUGGCACAAUGACGGUCUCAGUAUAUCCCCAGUAUAUUAAGAUGGAGCCAGGGCUGUUAUAUCUGUAGUUAUUUCUGAUUAGUCACAAGGUGAUGUCCAGUCUUUAACACUAUAGAUGUUAAAUGGAUCUGGCUAAUAUAAAGGAUCACACUAUAGCACUUAUGUACUUGAUGAAUAUUUUUGGCAGUGGUGUCUCCAAGCAAACAGGUUGCCAAUCUUCUGUUUCUUCAUCUUAUAGUUGGGGUUGGUAGUGGUGUCUAGUUAUACACAUGCCCUGUUCCGUGAGUGAAGAACAAGAACAACUAGGGACCUUGCUAUUUAGAUUGGAAGAUGGAUUUGUACU
rnacentral:rRNA from 1 species